UACCAGCAUAAAUUUUCUUGACGUAAAAAUAGGGAUAGAGGAUGGUGCAUUGACUACAGAUCUGUAUAGGAAACCUACGGACAAAAAUAAUCUAUUAAAAGCUACCAGCUUCCAUUACCCAAGAUGUAUCACUGGGAUUCCGAAAGGUCAAUUUCAAAGGGCUAGAAGGAUUGCUUCAAGUGAGGAAAGUUAUUGGGAAGCAGCAGGGACCCUAGUGGACAGAUUUAAAGCCAAAGGAUAUAAAGAAAAAUCCCUGGUAGAUACAGCUAAUGAGGUGAGCAAAGUAUCUAGGGAAGUUUUACUUGCACAGAGGCCACAGGAAAAAGGGAUAAGUACCCAGCCAAGGAUCCCCUUUGUAAGUAAGUAUGCCAAACAAAGUAGGGCAAUUGAACGUAUUAUCAACAGGUUUUGGCCAAUACUUCUGAAUGACAAAAAUUUGGGUAAAAAAUGUUCGGAACCACCACUGUUUAGUUACAAAAGAGGGUCUACUUUAAAAGACAUAUUAUGCCCCGCAGAACCAAAGGAGGUAAAAAGGAUGGAUAGGAUUUUCAAGAGUUCUCCAAAUAUAGGGACUUUCCCUUGUUUAAAUUGCAUCUGUUGCCAUUCGAUUAUUAAAGGGGGAGUAGUACAACAUCCAACUAAAGGCUUUAAUAUUAAGUUACAACAUUUUGCCACGUGUAACACAGAAUGUGUUGUGUACAUGUUGAAAUGCCCAUGUGGCAAAGUCUAUGUUGGGCAGACAUGCAGAGCAAUUAAAGAAAGAAUAAAAGAACAUAGAGGGAAUAUAAAAAACUUUAAGGCAAAUACAUACACGGACACCCCUGUGUCUCGACAUUUUAAUCAAAAUAGACAUAGUAUGUCACAACUGAAGUGGUUGGUGUUAGAUGUGAUUCAGAGACCACGGAGGGGGGGAGACAUUAAAAAAUUACUUUUACAAAGAGAAGCCAUAUGGAUAAAGAAACUGUGUGCGCUGGAUCCAUUAGGUCUGAAUGACAAAUGGAGUAUAGCCUGUUUUCUAUAGUAGGGUGAAUUUAAUAAAUCUUCUUUUUUUGACAGAUAGUGCUACCUGAAUAUGAACUGAAUUCUACAGUUAGGGAAAACACCCGUGCACAAUUCACCUUGGUGUAUAAUGUGGAAGGAUUCAAUUAAACUUUGAUAUGGACUUUGAUGUGUUAACGAGAACAUGGACUGGAGUUUUGUCGACUGGCUAGGCUGUAAAACCCUCCCAGCAGUAGCUGGUUUGUCCAAUGUAUGUGUGGGGUGGAGUUUUAUAAUUGUAUUUAAUGAUGUACCACAGAGCAUUUUUUCACACUUGAUAAAGAGCUUUUAAGCUCGAAACAUGUCGUGUAUUCAAUAAAAGCACCUUGCAGCAGUA